GUGGAAAGUCAUGCGCUGCAACAAGCUCGUGUCUAGAUAUAAUAUAUCAGUUGCCAUUGAUCGCAGGCACAAUAUAUCAGUAGGGCUUCAUCCCGGCGAUGUUGCCGCGGGGCUCGUAGUUGCAGAUGAUAAAGACGCCACGGUUGUCGCGGCACACGACGCGCGCGCAGCCGAUGCUUGUAGUGGCGCGCCACACCACCUGCGUGUAGUGGCCACACACCUUGCCGGCGGCGCAGCUGUUGGUGGCGUAUUUGUACCACUGUUUCUCGUCUACCCACGAUCGCACCGCGUCCGCCGCCUUCCAAUCGAAGCCGGCGGACCCCCAGAAGAUGUUCUCCCCGUAGGGCCCGCCCGAGUGCUGGAGACGGCAGUCGCUGGCCCUCUGUGCGGCGUACUUCUCCGCGAACUGCUGCAGCUUCGUGCUCCAGAUCACCGGGCCAACACCGACGGCGGCACGGGCGCUGUUUUGGGGAGUGAGGUAGUCUUGAGGCGAGUUCUCGGAGUAGGAAGGGUGCACGGCAGUGGUAGCUGCCAUGACCAGCCACAGGAGCAAGACUGCGAGCUUGUUGGAUGCCUCCAUUGUAGAAGCUGCUACCUAGGGAGGCAGCCGGGAUGUGUGUAUGUGACCUAAUUGUGUGUGUGCGUGAGUUUAAUUUGUGGAUGCUAUACUGCAAAUAUGUGGGGGCUAUUAAUAGUGGAGAGCAUGUGAAUUUUCUCCAGUAUGCUUGGAAAAAUAGUCCCGUUGCACGAAAAUAUGGCCGGCAUGCCAAUCUUUUCUACGUAUGAGUUCAAUAGAAUUC
rnacentral:misc_RNA from 1 species